CUGGCCCCGCCCCUCGCAACAGCAGCGCGCAGGCGCAGUGCCGCUUGCGACGCGAGGUCCGCGCGGUAACCGUUAACGGAAGAACCGAGGAGCUGGUGCCCUUUGCGCAUCCCACCGACAGUAACAAACCAAGCCGAUUCCAAACCAAAAAGGGCAGACAAGGCUGUGCCAACUCCAGGGAGGCCUGGCUCCAGGUCUAUGUGAGUGGCCUGGAACCUAGCUGGGCUGCGUCAGGGCCGGGCAGCAGGUCUCCAGGAAAGGAGGUAACAUGGCCUCAGCGUGGUCAGAGCAGCAGAGAGGAGCCAGUUACUCAGAGGGCAGAUGCUUCAUGGAAGCCUCCAGCACAAGCAGUCGACCCUAAAGCCUCCAACAGAUCCCCAUUGUGAAAGUGUGAAUGCUUUCCAGAAUUUCUUCCAGAGCUUGUACCUAGAGCACAGGAGGCCUCUAGGAACCAAUGUGGGCCUCCAGUUCUCAGCCUCUGCACCCAGCUGCAGGCCCAGGCGCCCUCUGAGCAAUGCCCCGUGCCACAGUUCAGUGCCACCCCACCGAAGCCUGAACUAUCUUGUCUGCUGUCCAGUUACAAAUUAAUCUCUUGUCAUCAGUGAUUAACUUCUUCGAGCCACAGGAGCUGCUGAACCAAAACAGCCCCUUGGGGUGAGAGAGUCUGCAGGUCCGUGCGUGCGGUGUGUGGAUCUGCCUGUGACCCUCGUCUCUCUGGCCCCUGUGCUGUGUCAGCAAGGGAGCAGGGUCGGCCGGGACAGGGCCCUGCUCUGGGCACGGCCUCUCGGAAUGCUUGCUGGGCUCCUCAAGGUGGAGACCCACACAGCAAUGGCCUAGGCUUUGUUUCUUUAGUGUGUGUGUGUCUGCAAGGGAGGUUGUUAAAAUGGGAUUGGGGCGGGUGUGUUCUCGGGAGGCCUCUGUCACCUGAAUACAACAGCUGGGCUGGUAAGGAAGGGAGGGGAGUCAAGCUUUGGGGCUUGCUGGAUGUUGAGGGGACUGAGGACUGUCUCUGAGAGCAUCUGUCCGCAGGGGAUGAGGCCUGGGAGACAUCGAUGCCAACUCCCUAUAGACGCCAAGGAAGGGGGCCUGAUCACUACAGCCACACUGGGAGCCAGCGGGAGAGAAGGGCAGAGGUCAGGUUGUGUUUAUAUGUCAGGCAAAAGGCUCAUUCUUUUCGCCACCACGGAGACAGGCAGCACAGCUCUCUUUGGAGAAAGGGCCCAGGGAAUCCCGCCUCACACCACAUCUGCCACACGAGGUUCUUAAAAAUAAAAUUCCUGAAAAAGUCCUGGCAGAUUUAGUCUCACUUCUUCAUUCUAGGGCUCCUCACAGCAAUUCCUUCAAAAACUCCACAGAGGGACACUGGCCA